rnacentral:snRNA from 1 species
AGCUUUGCGCAGUGGCAGUAUCGUAGCCAAUGAGGUUUAUCCGAGGCGCGAUUAUUGCUAAUUAAAAAGUAGACAGCAAUAUUUUUAGGGAUUAUUACACCAUA